GCCAGCACUGGUGGAUAAAUGUUAAGCCCUUGAAACUUUGAUAUCCAUCAGCAUUUCAGCAGAGACACAGAGAGGAAGAAAGCUUCAGUGUGACCCAGCACCCCAUUUUUUCCCCAGUGCCAUCAGAAGAUGCCCUAAUUUUCCUCAAAAGAAACCAAGUCGUUGGGUUUUUACGACUGGAGAAAAAAAAAAAAAAAAGGUGCUGGCAGGAGGGGAGCCUUACAGCUGUAUUUGCAGGAGAAGAAAGCUGGAAGAACAUCACUUUUGCUGGUUUAUUACCCAUUUUGAGCUGUGAAAGCUGGCACAGUAAGGACGUCUAGAGAGAACAGCUUAGCCCAUCGCCAGUCCUGUUGCUGGACCUUCUGCAAGACCUCAGUGUAACUGGAAUCAUGACAUCUCACUUCACCCAUAAAAGCCCGUGCAUCUAAUCUAAGUUGGUGGCUCGACUCUUUGGAACAAAUCUAGGCACUUGCAAAGUGAUUCAUCCUCCCUGUUGCAGACACCCACAUCCAGCAAUACAGCUACCAGUACUGGAGGAGUCCUGCUACUUGCAGUAAGAAGUCCUACCACAAGCAUCACAAGCACUUGUUUGCUGGGUAUAUCCAGUGUCUCAUCUCAGCAGCCUUGUCCAGAGUAUGUCAAUGCAAUGACAGACUCAAGAAGUAUCUCAAGCAGACUUGAUGUUCCAGAGACAGGACCUUCUCUGUAUUCUAUCAAUCAUUGGUUUAACCAAAGGUAGUCUUCUAAUAUGAAGAAACAGCAGUUUACUCACUUCUCACUCUUUAGCCUGACACAAAACCAGAUGAGCUGAUCUAUUAAAAAAACAUGUUUAUUUGCCACCACACAAAUGGGAACCCAUUUCUCAGAACUGAUAUGAUACAUGUUUUAAAA